AUUACUAAGAAAUGAAGCUGGUGUUAUGAACAGUGAACAGUGUCCCAAAAUUUUAUUUCAGAGUGAAAAAUUGUUCUUGAAAAUUGGAGAUGAAAGUGGAAAAUUGAUUUCAGUUGGAUGUCACUUCCCGCCCAAAACUGGCAAAUUUUGGGACAUUGGUUUUGAACAAACUUAACAAUACAAUAUCACUGUCCCAGGCUCCAGCUGAAUAACAUCAACAUAUAACAUAAUACUUUGUAUCGAAGAUCCUGCUCGCAGCUAUGCCUCAUUGCCUACCAUGGCCAAAACCUCUUUGAGGUUUACCGUAGUGUUCUCCGUCUGAUUGUUAUGUGUUGAGGAUGAGCUGAAUGUUACUGAUAUUAAUACCUGAUAUCUAUUUGUGGUCAAUGUUUAGUGUAACACCGUGACAUCUUCCAAUGCCAAAGUUUAUUUCCAACGAGCCAAAGCUUAUUUGCAUUGCAAUUACGAGCGGUAGUGUGAUGUGUGGAACGUGUAGUAUGUACGAUUGGGAACCACUUACUCUGUAACCCAAAGUGGCAUGUUUGCAUAUAUGAGAAUGUUCAGUGUUCAUCGUCUUUAGAUAAUAAAAGCAUUGGCAUACCAGGAA